rnacentral:lncRNA from 1 species
CAACAAUUGCUCUGUCCCAGGGCCCAGAUAAACUUUAAUCAUCCUCUGUGCUCCAUCUUCUAUGAUCAACAGAGGGGAGAUUGUUCCAUUCAGCAAAAGGAAGAAAGGUUGUUGUUGUACAUACCAUGAAAGAAGCCCUGCAACUCUUUAAAAGGUAUCAUGACAGUCCAGAGGGUGGACAUCUAGGAAUAUUCAAAACCAGGAAUGCGCUGACAUCAAAAUACUAUUGGCCAGGGAUGACAAAAGACAUUGCCAAUUGGGUUGCACAGUGUCUGACUUGCCAGAAAGAGGGAAAGCAAUCAAAUCUGGAUACCACCUUGAAAAGCAUAGAGGUGAAUUUUUGAAUCAGACACGUUAUUGUUUAUCAUUAUCCAUGGUUAUUUCUGCAAUACAAUGAGGCUUUGAUUUUGAAACAAGUCCAAUGCAUGUAAGUGGCACAGCAUAGUGCAGCAAUUACCUCUAAUACGCCUUCGCACUGGCUGGGGAUAUUUCUUGUGCUUUACUCUGGUAUUGUUUUCAAUCACUCAUUCCUGCACUUCUUUUCGUUUGUUUAUUCUUUCUUUCUUUUUCUUCUGCAUUUAAAAGUGGGCUUUCAUUUGGAUUCUAUGGCUGUUAAAUCAUAAAGCACUGCCACAUCAGAAGUGUAACGUCAGCCAUGUAUGGUCUGGAACCAGUGGCCAAUUCUUACCGGUACACUGGACCAGCCCACUUUCACCUAUGGUAAGUAUGAGGUUUAUUCUAAAUAUCAGUGUUGUUAGUUUGCAGAAACAUAUUUGCAGCACAAAGACAUCAGUACGGUGGAAACAACACAGAAGGCUAAUACUGCGUUUAGAAGACAUAUAGCAAUUCUUCUAAUGAAGGAGUCAGGUAAUUACUUUCUACCAUGUAUUGUGGACUCAUUAGGCACAUGUGAGGAUAACAUGAAGAGUGGAAUUCUGUCACAUAACAGACAGUUAUCUUAAUAACCCUAAAGUGGGAUAUCUCACAGGUUUGCUUCUGAAAUGGUGACUAUGAAUCAAUAAUAUCUUUAAGUACACAAAAAUUUGAAUGGGGUGAAUGAUUACUAUUGAUCGACCAGUUAAAUGAAAUUUGAAUUUUUAGAUACAGGUGCAGUAAAGUUAAAAUUUGAAAAAAAAUUCCAAAAAAAGGAAAAGAUAUGUGUGUUCAAACCAUUGACUGGAUUACAAUAUUGACAAUUAAUACAUCAAGAUUAGCAUUUUCAGUGUUGGUCGUAACAUAUUCAUCAUAUCGUAAUGCUAUAUUUAUUUUUAAGAAAGCGUGGAGGACUACUGCAUAUACUGCAACCUUAUCGACUGUGAAAAAGAAAGUGAGGAUUGCACGAUG